CGAGGGGUGCAAGCGUUACUCGGAAUUACUGGGCGUAAAGCGUGCGUAGGCGGUUCGUUAAGUCCGUUGUGAAAGCCCUGGGCUCAACCUGGGAAUGGCAGUGGAUACUGGCGAGCUAGAGUGUGAUAGAGGAUGGUGGAAUUCCCGGUGUAGCGGUGAAAUGCGUAGAGAUCGGGAGGAACACCAGUGGCGAAGGCGGCCAUCUGGAUCAACACUGACGCUGAGGCACGAAAGCGUGGGGAGCAAACAGGAUUAGAUACCCUGGUAGUCCACGCCCUAAACGAUGCGAACUGGACGUUGGGAGCAACUUGGCUCUCAGUGUCGAAGCUAACGCGUUAAGUUCGCCGCCUGGGGAGUACGGUCGCAAGACUG
rnacentral:rRNA from 1 species